GCUGUAUACAAACACUUUCUUUCCUUGAUGUCACUCUGUUCUUCCUUUAAUGUGAUUGGUCAUGCAAGGAAUUCUGCCUAGCAACAAGAGAACAAAAGCACUGAUUGGUGGAUUAGAAAAUUCGUCCUUUUGGCCUCGUCUAUUCGGUUGCUGACACCACAUUUCAAGACGGAAGUUUUUCUUCGUGUACUAUGUUGGGUGACAUGAGAUAAGAAGAUGUGGAAAUGUAAGUAUUACAGAUUUGAUUUUGAAAAGGAAAAUUUAAUUAAAAUCAUGUGGUUUUACAACAAUUUGAGCAUGAGUAAAUGAAAACUUAAUUUUUUAGUGGUCUAUUCCUUUAACAUGAUAAAGCAGCAUUAUUUCUUAGCCUCUUCAUUAUUUUCUAAUUAUUUCUUAGCCUGAAAAGCAUUUCUGUGUAAAAGCUUAUGGGAUUAUGUCACCUGGCCUUGUGUCCCCUCAGGUUUGCAUGUUCAACAGAAUUACGGACAAAAAUCUACAGCAGGAAUUCUAUGAAAACCUGGACAGACACAGUUCACGGUUCAUGGACCUUUUUACAACCAGAAGGGGGACUCCUGGUCAGCACUUGUUGAAGUUUUUACAGCAAAUAGAGGACUGCCUAUCAUGCUCGGAGAUGAAGACUCUUCUUUCUUCAAGUCAUGUUUAGUGUCUGA
rnacentral:lncRNA from 1 species